rnacentral:rRNA from 1 species
CCUACGGGUGGCUGCAGUGAGGAAUAUUGGUCAAUGGGCGUAAGCCUGAACCAGCCAAGUCGCGUGAGGGAUGAAGGUUCUAUGGAUCGUAAACCUCUUUUAUAAGGGAAUAAAGUGUGGGACGUGUCCUAUUUUGUAUGUACCUUAUGAAUAAGGAUCGGCUAACUCCGUGCCAGCAGCCGCGGUAAUACGGAGGCUCCGAGCGUUAUCCGGAUUUAUUGGGUUUAAAGGGUGCGUAGGCGGCCUUUUAAGUCAGCGGUGAAAGUCUGUGGCUUAACCAUAGAAUUGCCGUUGAAACUGGGGGGCUUGAGUAUGUUAGAGGCAGGCGGAAUGCGUGGUGUAGCGGUGAAAUGCAUAGAUAUCACGCAGAACCCCGAUUGCGAAGGCAGCCUGCCAGGCCAUAACUGACGCUGAUGCACGAAAGCGUGGGGAUCAAACAGGAUUAGAUACCCCAGUAGUC